GUUUGAUCCUGGCUCAGGAUGAACGCUAGCUACAGGCUUAACACAUGCAAGUCGCGGGGCAGCAUUUUCUUAGCUUGCUAGGGAAGAUGGCGACCGGCGCACGGGUGAGUAACGCGUAUCCAACCUUCCCAUGUCCACGGGAUAGCCCGUCGAAAGGCGGAUUAAUACCGUAUGAGGUCACAUGCGGGCAUCUAAGUGUGACGAAAGGUUUAGCGGACAUGGAUGGGGAUGCGUCCGAUUAGCUAGUUGGCGGGGUAACGGCCCACCAAGGCGACGAUCGGUAGGGGUUCUGAGAGGAAGGUCCCCCACAUUGGAACUGAGACACGGUCCAAACUCCUACGGGAGGCAGCAGUGAGGAAUAUUGGUCAAUGGACGCAAGUCUGAACCAGCCAAGUAGCGUGCAGGAUGACGGCCCUAUGGGUUGUAAACUGCUUUUAUGCGGGGAUAAAGUGUGGGACGUGUCCCAUACUGUAGGUACCGCAUGAAUAAGGACCGGCUAAUUCCGUGCCAGCAGCCGCGGUAAUACGGAAGGUCCGGGCGUUAUCCGGAUUUAUUGGGUUUAAAGGGAGCGUAGGCCGGCUUUUAAGCGUGUUGUGAAAUGCCGCGGCUCA
rnacentral:rRNA from 1 species